GAGAGGGUCUAGGGUUCCUGGGAUGAUGGUUUUGAUGUGAGCCAUGACCAGCCUUUCAAAGCACUUCAUGGGUCGGUAGUCAUUUAGGCAGGUUACCUUCGUGUUCUUAGUACUCAUUUUUAUUUAGUUUCAGUUUGAUAAAAACAUUUAGAUUUAGUUUUUAUAUUAUUUAGUUCCAGUUUUAGUGUUAGGGAUUAGAAAGAAGCCUAUGCGCGGGAGGUUAGAAGCCAUUUGUGUGUUGGCGUAUAGUUUGUGUUUUCUUGUCACUUCAUGCCACUGGGGGGCAGCAAUAAGGUGAUGGUCACAGGUUUGGUUAUGUUUCAAUUAUAAAUCAAUCUUAGCCUGCAUUCCAAAGUUAGACGUUGCUGACGCCUGACAGGUCUUCAACGCCUGGACAGGUAUUUUAAAUCAGCUAACCACACAUGUUAUUGCAAUCUGUCAGUCCAUGAUACUGUCGAUGGCAAGCAACCAUUGACUGAUGCAUGCAAACGUCUGAGCAGGGGAACGCAACCGUUGUCAGAUUAUUGCCCCCACCCCAGAAUAAAACAUCUCACUAGCCAUUUUUUCUGUUUGGGGCGGGGCCACUCUGGUCUGCUUAUUGCCCCCUUAUUCCCUAUUGUUAGCAAAUAUGAUCUAUUAUAUUGACAAGAUGUUCAAUUAACCCCUCUAGCAAUGAAAUACAUGUCCUCAAAGAUUGAAGGCAGGCGGGAGGAGACAAGAUCAGGUGGGACCAUUCUAGCCAACUUAUCGGGGUACAUCUGUAACAACUUAAACAUUACUCUGUUUGGUCAACUAAGCCUCACGUAAUUUCACACAGGUCUCAUAGACCUCCAUGCAAAAAGGUCUGCUUAUCUCGUGGGGACAGAUUUUGGGCAGAAGUAAUCCUCUUGCUCCGCCUUGUCCUCCUUGGUAUUAGCUUGUAAUAGUGAUGCACAUGCUAGGCAUAUUUGAAACAUUGCCAUCUACUGGCAGAAUUUACCUGCCAGAAUCAGAAGCUCGAAAACCCCAUUACAAAAAAAGUUUGAAAACCCCAAUAGAUUUUUUUCCCAAAGUGUUCUUUAUUUUAUAAAACUUAACAUAAUUUGAUGGUUUUUAUUUUAUUUUGCAGACGAAGAUACUAGUUUCAGUAUAGUUUUAGUUUUUCAAAAGUUUUUCUUAUUUUUAUUUUAGUUUAAUAUAAUAACCUUGGUUUGUAGCAGAGUCACAUGGGAGGAGGGUUUGUAUGGAGGUUGGGUAAAGUAGAUUUAAGGUUUGCCGGUUAAGGGUUGGAUUGGCCUUUUAGGAUGGUCGUGGGAACAGGUGUGGGGCAUCUGGAGGGAGGGGUUGGGAUUGGGAUUCUUCAGAACUCUUCUCUACACACACCCUUAAGCUGAGGGUCUGGGUGUUAACAAGGUUCAAGGUCUCAGGCAAGGUUACUAAUCACAUGGUGUGAAGUUGGCCAAACCACCUCCACUUCUUUUGCCCACUAGGCACAGCCUUAUUAACUUCUGUAUGUGUGUGUAUUAGAGCCAGGCGGAGGUGUUACGGGUGCAACAGCAGAAGGAGGAGCUGUGUGACCAGAUCCGUGACCUCAGCGUGCCCUUUCACCUGGCCUCUGAGUCGCUGACGGACCUGAAGAAGCAGCUCCGCCUCCUGGAGACCCAGACCAAUGAGAGAGGAGAGAAGCUCACCAAGCUCACUGCCAAGAUACAACAGCUGUAGCAGGUGCACAUGCAUUUUGAGAUGGAGAUGGAGAGAAGGAAACAGAUCCAUCACAAAGAGCUGGAGGAUAAAGAGGGGUUAGAGGACGUACACAAGUCCUCUAGAGAGACGGCUGCGUCAGCUGGAGAUGCAGUUGGAACAGGAGUCCACGAGAAACACGACCAGGAGGGACUGAUAUCUACACUCUGUGACCAGGGUCAGGAGCAGAGAACAUCAGUGGAGAGAGGGGAGCAGAGACAGCAAGGGCAGUUCGUCACUCCAGUGCCAUGCCGUUAACCUUCGCAACCCUGGGCCAGACUGCACUCAAUCAUAGGACCUACUGAAGAGAGGAGUCUUCAGGAGACUGAGUCUGCGUCUCUCGCAUGGGACAAAACCAAAUCCAGGGUAUGACUGUGGCAAUGCGUAGGUCCGAAGACAUGUUGGACCAAACCCACUGAGUCGAUGAUGGCUCCGAACGCCUUUUGGAGUGGGCCACAGGGACUUUGACGUGGAGAAGAGACUGAGGAGAGAUCUGAAGAGAACCCAUGCUCUGCUGGUGGACGCUCAGCUACUACCGUCUACCAUAGA